CAUCGGCAUUCCUCGGCACUCACUUUCUGUGCACAGGCACCUGGGCCGCUCAUCCGUCCGCUCGACUCGGCAUUUCCGGCGACCCCUCGCCACGGCGCUCCACCAGCAGCUGUACGCACAGGCGCACAUACAGACACCCAACGGCCUGCAUCUCUCUCCUUUCCUCCAUAAUGCCCUCCGUCGCUGUCACAAGCACGGCCGCCGCCGCCGUGGGGCCGCUGCACUCUGUGAAGGCCGCCUCUCACAGCCGCGCUGCGGCACGCACCGAGGCGUGCAUGAUUCGGCCACAGAAAGGCUCUGCGUGCAACAAGACCUGCGCCAUUGUUUUGGGUUGCUUGCUCGGCGCCUGUUUUCUGAUCGCCCUUUUCGUGCUGCUGUGGUGUCGCCUCGCAGCGAGGCGACGGCGUGAGCAGCGGCGCAGCGUAGAGGAAGAUGCGUACUGGAAGAAGCAGCCCUACACAGGCGAAGAGGAAGCAGGAGCGACUAAAAACAUCUCGGAAGUGCCAACGUCGACGAUGGCUGAAAGGGAUGCGCUGCCGAGUUUUCUCUCCACCAACCCGCUGUCGGCUGCCUCCUUGUACAGCAGGGGCACAGUCGCUCACGUGUUGUCCUCCCGCAUUCAAAUCGGUGAGGACGAGGUCAUGCCACUCUCGCAGAGCCGACGGAACCCUCUGGCGCCGCAGGCCGAGGCACCGCAGCUGGGCGACGCGCCGCAGGAGGAAGAGGCCAUGAAGCCGAAAAGGUCGACCCGCAGCUGGCGCGUGCGGGGAAGGGAGCGGAGCCGUGGCGUGAGUAUGGCCGCCUUCGAGGACGACAGCGUAAGCUCUAUUGAUGAUGACCUUGUGUAAUUGGCAGCUGCUGGUGGAGCACUGAGCUGCAGCUUGCUGCUGUUUCCGCGGGUCUCUGUGUUAGGGUGUCGUGCGAGCACCGCUCUCUGCUGUGGGGGUUGUCGAUGUCGCUCUCUCCCCUACUGUACGGGCUCCCGUGUCCACUCCAACCUCACAGCCACGCCGUCGCCGCUGCUGUUGCACGCUUCUGCUGGAUUUGGAUGAUACCAAGUAGGAUGGCGAUGUGCUGCACGGCAUGCGGCAGUGAUGAGCAUCGCAUGUGGCUGGGAAAGGCAAUCGAGGACCCCGUGGCAAAGCCUGUUUCCCGCAGGCUGCCGCUUUUUUCUCUCUUCUCGGUUCUGCUCACUCAGGCGUGGUGAGUGAGGCGCCUGGCAGAAAGGCGCUAGCCCACAUGUACAGAGGCACACGGAAGUUGAGCACGCGCCGACAUGCCGCGACAGCGCGGGCAACUAAAGCGCGCCAAUUCAUUCCUCUUCUCUGGUGUAGAACUAUGUGUUUGCAGGCCCGCGCGCAUCCGCCCGCCCACCCCUUAUAUCUUUGCGGAGGGUACCCGUCUUAUCUCUUCGAGGGCCUGGGUUCCUUUUUUUUGGCUCACAAGGUCCCCUUUCCGCCCCUCUCUUCGUCUGCCUCCGUGAACGGCGCUUGUUUUGGCUUUGCGCUCUGCUCCUCCUAGUGCAGCAGAGGUCGAUGAGCUGUAGCUGUGUGCAUGUAUUUGCGGGCUUGCUUGCGGUCGCGUGACACGCUGCAGCAGCCAGCGCUGUACCUUUCCUUCUCAUUCGCGUCUGCUGCCCACCCACCCUCUACGCCGCUCCUUGGCGAAUGGCACAUGCGCCACUACACACGCAGGCUACAUGCGCAAGCACGACAUGAGUGCACAGCUCGGGAGGCACAUGUGCGCGCGACGGUUCUGAGUAUGUUCUUCUCCCUCGCUCCUCCUCGUGCCCUUCCCCUCUGACUUCCUGUGUUCUGUGCGGCUCGGCCGCUCUCUUUGUUUUCCGCUGUGCCUAUCUCUGCUGCCUUUUCUUCUGGUCGAGCUCCUGAAGAGAGAAAAGCGGUGUUGUAAUCUCUACUUCGCUUUUCCUUUCUCUUCGCAGACUUGUCUGUAGCAGGCCCGUUAGUGUAUAUACUUCUGUAUUGCCCUUUGUUGAUGUCCGCAUGAUAGUGCGCGGCUUUAUUAUUCCUUUCAUGGGGUUCUCUCCCUCGUGCUAAGUGUUUCUCCCUAAUGUUCUUCUAGACUGGAUGUCGAUUUCUUUUUUUCGCGCUUCGCCCUUGGUUUCGCACGGAGGGACGGAAGGAGUUUCUGUGAGUAGGUCGUGGUACCUGUUAGUGCGUGUGUGCCUGUGUUAGUGUGCGGGUGCUGGCCGCCAUUUGGCAGCGUCCCCCCUCGCCCCCAGUCAGCAUUCUCUGUUACACUAUCUUUCCCUCUACGCCCUCCUUACGCACCGCUGCGCACCUUCAACUCCCCGUCACUUUUUUUUCUCAUCUCCGGCGGCGGGGGCGGCGCGGGGGCGCCUUUUCGUUUUGCCUUCUCUUGUGCGUCAGCGCUUGCUUUUCUCUGUGGGAACGUCUCUGUUUCAGUGCAUAUUAGUAUCACCGCUAUCAGAGCCCGGCAAGCUUAUCUUUCUUUUUGUACACCAUCUGUUCUCUUGACUCAGCGGGCUCCGCCAGCCUUAAAAACGCCGGCAAGCAAACAGGGCAUGCAUGCGAGCGAGGCCGCUUCUAUUUAUAUGCGUGCGUGCACGUUGAUGUGCUUCUGUAUGUAUUUACAUGUCUAUGCGUGCGCAUAUGCCCCUGCGCACGUGUAUGUGAAUCCGUGUAUAUGUAAACAUGCAUAUGUCCGUGUGUAUGUAUGCGUAUACAUGUGUAUAUGCGCACAGUGGCAGUUGUGUGUGUGUGUGUGUGUGUCCGUGUUGCCUGGUCUCUCAGCCUCCUCCGUCUGUGUGUCUCGCUCUGCGCAUAUGCUCACCCGCACCACACGCGCUUCGCUCCCCCUCUGCCUUUUUGUGUCUGUGUUUUUUCAUAAGCCUCCCUCUUUUCGCUUCUCUCUUUGAGCUAACCUCUGGAAGCCCUUCGUGGCACAAGCCCCCUCCGUUCUCUCCCUCAGUGGGUUUCACGUACGCCGUGCUGCAAGGAUGCAAGGGAGGGGAGGGACUUCAUGGCACCGCUCAUGUACACCACCGGCGCACACGCUUCUUCGGAGUGGCUUUGCGUGGAGGUACGUGGCUGCAUGUCCCUGUGUCUGUGUCGAUGUGGCCGUCGGCGCGCGACCCAUUGCGAACUGUCUGCACGGGAAGCAAACGAAAACGAAGAAGGCACGACGGAGGGAUGGGGGGGCGGUGCAAUGGCGCUCUGCGCGAUCCAAUACGAUACUCGGAAGAUUGAAGGAAUGUCUUCUUGGGUGCGCGCGACGUAUUUUCCAGCGUCUCUGUGUCCUUCAUCUUUCUCCGCGCCGGCAUGCGAAAGCGCGCUGAAGAGGAAAACGAAGCGGUAAGAAGCACUCCAUUAGUUUGUCAGGCUUUGUCUCACGUGUCGUGCGGUGUCGCGCCACGGCAUCGCCCGCCUCGCUGCCUCGCCACUCCCCAAGGCGUCCGGCUACCUCCCGGUCGCCGUUGGUCCCACACCUUUCUGCUUCCGUGCUUCCCUCUAUCACUGUGCCCCGUCGCGCGCGCUGUUUUCCUCCACCCCCGCCCCACUUCUUGCAAGUGCAGCCCGCUCUCCCUGUCGCGCAAGACUCUUGGGCGAGUCACACCAGGCGGAUAAUGCCAUCAGUCGCCGCCCUUUGCUCUCCCUCCUGUCCUGCACUGGCGUAUUUCUUUACCAG
rnacentral:misc_RNA from 1 species